rnacentral:rRNA from 1 species
UUGGAGGGCAAGUCUGGUGCCAGCAGCCGCGGUAAUUCCAGCUCCAAUAGCGUAUAUUAAAGUUGUUGCAGUUAAAAAGCUCGUAGUUGAAUUUCGGGGUCAGCAGGUUGGUCGUGCCAAUGGUAUGCACUGGCCUUGCUGAUUCCUCCCUCUUGAUGAGCCGUAAUGCCAUUAAUUUGGUGUUGCGGGGAAUCAGGACUGUUACUUUGAAAAAAUUAGAGUGUUUAAAGCAGGCAAGCGCUUGAAUACAUUAGCAUGGAAUAAUGAAAUAGGACGUUUAAUCCUAUUUUGUUGGUUUCUAGGAUUGACGUAAUGAUUAAUAGGGAUAGUUGGGGGCAUUAGUAUUCAAUUGUCAGAGGUGAAAUUCUUGGAUUUAUUGAAGACUAACUACUGCGAAAGCAUUUGCCAAGGAUGUUUUCAUUAAUCAAGAACGAAAGUUAGGGGAUCGAAGACGAUCAGAUACCGUCGUAGUCUUAACCAUAAACUAUGCCGACUAGGGAUCGGAUGAUGUUAAUUUUUUAAUGACUCAUUCGGCGCCUUACGGGAAAC